rnacentral:rRNA from 1 species
UGGGGAAUUUUGGACAAUGGGCGAAAGCCUGAUCCAGCAAUGCCGCGUGUGUGAAGAAGGCCUUCGGGUUGUAAAGCACUUUUGUCCGGAAAGAAAUCCUUGGCUCUAAUACAGUCGGGGGAUGACGGUACCGGAAGAAUAAGCACCGGCUAACUACGUGCCAGCAGCCGCGGUAAUACGUAGGGUGCAAGCGUUAAUCGGAAUUACUGGGCGUAAAGCGUGCGCAGGCGGUUUGCUAAGACCGAUGUGAAAUCCCCGGGCUCAACCUGGGAACUGCAUUGGUGACUGGCAGGCUAGAGUAUGGCAGAGGGGGGUAGAAUUCCACGUGUAGCAGUGAAAUGCGUAGAGAUGUGGAGGAAUACCGAUGGCGAAGGCAGCCCCCUGGGCCAAUACUGACGCUCAUGCACGAAAGCGUGGGGAGCAAACAGGAUUAGAUACCCUGGUAGUCCACGCCCUAAACGAUGUCAACUAGUUGUUGGGGAUUCAUUUUCCUUAGUAACGUAGCUAACGCGUGAAGUUGACCGCCUGGGGAGUACGGUCGCAAGAUUAAAACUCAAAGGAAUUGACGGGGU